rnacentral:scRNA from 1 species
CUCCAGCCGCAGGCGAUGCUCGGCCUUGCCCA